rnacentral:sRNA from 1 species
UCGCGAUUAGGGACUUGUUUCUACUGG